rnacentral:rRNA from 1 species
UACAGGCUUAACACAUGCAAGUCGAGGGGCAGCAUGGUCUUAGCUUGCUAAGGCCGAUGGCGACCGGCGCACGGGUGAGUAACACGUAUCCAACCUGCCGUCUACUCUUGGACAGCCUUCUGAAAGGAAGAUUAAUACAAGAUGGCAUCAUGAGUCCGCAUGUUCACAUGAUCAAAGGUAUUCCGGUAGACGAUGGGGAUGCGUUCCAUUAGAUAGUAGGCGGGGUAACGGCCCACCUAGUCUUCGAUGGAUAGGGGUUCUGAGAGGAAGGUCCCCCACAUUGGAACUGAGACACGGUCCAAACUCCUACGGGAGGCAGCAGUGAGGAAUAUUGGUCAAUGGGCGAGAGCCUGAACCAGCCAAGUAGCGUGAAGGAUGACUGCCCUAUGGGUUGUAAACUUCUUUUAUAAAGGAAUAAAGUCGGGUAUGGAUACCCGUUUGCAUGUACUUUAUGAAUAAGGAUCGGCUAACUCCGUGCCAGCAGCCGCGGUAAUACGGAGGAUCCGAGCGUUAUCCGGAUUUAUUGGGUUUAAAGGGAGCGUAGAUGGAUGUUUAAGUCAGUUGUGAAAGUUUGCGGCUCAACCGGUAAAAUUGCAGUUGAUACUGGAUAUCUUGAGUGCAGUUGAGGCAGGCGGAAUUCGUGGUGUAGCGGUGAAAUGCUUAGAUAUCACGAAGAACUCCGAUUGCGAAGGCAGCCUGCUAAGCUGCAA